rnacentral:sRNA from 1 species
GCUGGGCGGGGUGGUGCGCGCCUCUAGUCCUAGCUACUCAGGAGGCUGAGGCAGGAGAAUUGCUUGAACCUGGGAGGCAGAGGUUGCAGUGAGCCAAGAUUAACGCCACUGCACUCCAGCCUGGUGAGACUCUGUCUCAAAAAAAAAAAAAAAGGACUGGAUCCACAGUGGAUGCACUCUGUCACCCAGGCUGGAGUGUGCAGUGGCAUGGUCUUGGCUCACUGCAACCUCCACCUCCCGUGUUCAAGUGAUUCUUCUGCCUCA